GACGAACGCUGGCGGCGUGCUUAACACAUGCAAGUCGAACGAAAAGUCCCGGCUUUUGUGCGCUGCUCUGGUUGCGAACUGGUGAGUAACACUUGAGUAACCUGCCCUUUCCUGUGGGAUAACUUCAUGAAACUUGAUCUAAUACCGUCUAGGAUCUCUUGCUGCAUUGUGGGGGUUGGAUAGUUUCGGCGGUUGGUGAUGGACUCGCGGCUUAUCCGCUUGUUGGUGGGGUAGUGUCUUACCAAGGCUUUGACGGGUAGCCGGCCUGAGAGGGUGAGAGGCCACAUUGGGACUGAGAUACGGCCCAGACUCCUACGGGAGGCAGCAGUGGGGAAUAUUGUAAAAUGGGCGGAAGCAUGAUGCAGCAACGCAGCGUGCGGGAUGACGGCAUGCGGGUUGUAAACCGCUUUCGCCUGUGACGAAGCGUGAGUGACGGUAAUGGGUAAAGAAGCACCGGCUAACUACGUG
rnacentral:rRNA from 1 species